AGAGUUUGAUCCUGGCUCAGAUUGAACGCUGGCGGAAUGCUUUACACAUGCAAGUCGAACGGCAGCACGGGUGCUUGCACCUGGUGGCGAGUGGCGAACGGGUGAGUAACAUAUCGGAACGUAUCCAAUAAUGGGGGAUAACUAAUCGAAAGGUUGGCUAAUACCGCAUACGCCCUACGGGGGAAAGCUAGGGACCUUCGGGCCUGGCGUUAAUGGAGCGGCCGAUAUCUGAUUAGCUAGUUGGUGAGGUAAGAGCUCACCAAGGCGACGAUCAGUAGCUGGUCUGAGAGGACGACCAGCCACACUGGAACUGAGACACGGUCCAGACUCCUACGGGAGGCAGCAGUGGGGAAUUUUGGACAAUGGGCGCAAGCCUGAUCCAGCCAUUCCGCGUGAGUGAAGAAGGCCUUCGGGUUGUAAAGCUCUUUCGCAAGGGAAGAAAACUUACCCUCUAACAUAGGGUGAGGUUGACGGUACCUUGAUAAGAAGCACCGGCUAACUACGUGCCAGCAGCCGCGGUAAUACGUAGGGUGCGAGCGUUAAUCGGAAUUACUGGGCGUAAAGCGUGCGCAGGCGGUUAUUUAAGUCUGAUGUGAAAUCCCUGGGCUCAACCUAGGAACUGCGUUGGAAACUGGAUAACUCGAAUAUGUCAGAGGGGGGUAGAAUUCCACGUGUAGCAGUGAAAUGCGUAGAGAUGUGGAGGAAUACCAAUGGCGAAGGCAGCCCCCUGGGAUAAUAUUGACGCUCAUGCACGAAAGCGUGGGGAGCAAACAGGAUUAGAUACCCUGGUAGUCCACGCCCUAAACGAUGUCUACUAGUUGUUGGUGGAGUAAAAUCCAUGAGUAACGCAGCUAACACGUGAAGUAGACCGCCUGGGGAGUACGGUCGCAAGAUUAAAACUC
rnacentral:rRNA from 1 species